rnacentral:rRNA from 1 species
AUUGAACGCUGGCGGCAGGCCUAACACAUGCAAGUCGAACGAGUGGCGGACGGGUGAGUAAUGUCUGGGAAACUGCCUGAUGGAGGGGGAUAACUACUGGAAACGGUAGCUAAUACCGCAUACCAUCGGAUGUGCCCAGAUGGGAUUAGCUAGUUGGUGGGGUAAAGGCUCACCAAGGCAACGAUCCGUAGCUGGUUUGAGAGGACGACCAGCCACACUGGGACUGAGACACGGCCCAGACUCCUACGGUAGGCAGCAGUGGGGAAUUUUGGACAAUGGGGGAAACCCUGAUCCAGCCAUCCCGCGUGUAUGAUGAAGGCCUUCGGGUUGUAAAGGACUUUUGGCAGAGAAGCGGUAUCUGCAGAAUAAGCACCGGCUAACUACGUGCCAGCAGCCGCGGUAAUAC